UGCAGUCGAGCGGGGGAGGUUGGCUUCGGUAACUGACCUAGCGGCGGACGGGUGAGUAAUGCUUAGGAAUCUGCCUAUUAGUGGGGGACAACAUCUCGAAAGGGAUGCUAAUACCGCAUACGUCCUACGGGAGAAAGCAGGGGACCUUCGGGCCUUGCGCUAAUAGAUGAGCCUAAGUCGGAUUAGCUAGUUGGUGGGGUAAAGGCCUACCAAGGCGACGAUCUGUAGCGGGUCUGAGAGGAUGAUCCGCCACACUGGGACUGAGACACGGCCCAGACUCCUACGGGAGGCAGCAGUGGGGAAUAUUGGACAAUGGGCGGAAGCCUGAUCCAGCCAUGCCGCGUGUGUGAAGAAGGCCUUUUGGUUGUAAAGCACUUUAAGCGAGGAGGAGGCUACUGGUAUUAAUACUACCGGAUAGUGGACGUUACUCGCAGAAUAAGCACCGGCUAACUCUGUGCCAGCAGCCGCGGUAAUACAGAGGGUGCGAGCGUUAAUCGGAUUUACUGGGCGUAAAGCGUGCGUAGGCGGCUUUUUAAGUCGGAUGUGAAAUCCCUGAGCUUAACUUAGGAAUUGCAUUCGAUACUGGGAGGCUAGAGUAUGGGAGAGGAUGGUAGAAUUCCAGGUGUAGCGGUGAAAUGCGUAGAGAUCUGGAGGAAUACCGAUGGCGAAGGCAGCCAUCUGGC
rnacentral:rRNA from 1 species